CCUACGGGUGGCAGCAGUGGGGAAUAUUGCACAAUGGGGGAAACUCUGAUGCAGCGACGCCGCGUGAGUGAAGAAGUACUUCGUUAUGUAAAGCUCUAUCAGCAGGGAAGAAAAUGACGGUACCUGAGUGAGAAUCCCCGGCGAACUUCGUUCCAGCAGCCGCGGUACUACGUAGGGGGCAAGCGUUAUCCGGAUUUACUGGGUGUAAAGGGAGCGUAGUCGGCAGUGCAAGUCUGGAGUGAAAGGCGGGGGCUCAACCGCCGGACUGCAGUGGAAACUGUACGGCUUGAGUGCAGGAGAGGUGAGUGGAAUUCCUAGUGUAGCGGUGAAAUGCGUAGAUAUUAGGAGGAACACCAGUGGCGAAGGCGGCUUACUGGACUGUAACUGACGUUGAGGCUCGAAAGCGUGGGGAGCAAACAGGAUUAGAUACCCCAGUAGUC
rnacentral:rRNA from 1 species